rnacentral:rRNA from 1 species
AGGAUGAACGCUAGCGGCAGGCCUAACACAUGCAAGUCGAGGGGCAGCGAGUCUAGCUUGCUAGAUGUCGGCGACCGGCGCACGGGUGAGCAACGCGUAUGGAACCUGCCCUUUACAGGGGAAUAGCCCAGGGAAACUUGGAUUAAUGCCCCGUGGUACCGUUAUGCAGCAUUGCAUUUCGGUUAAAGCCUUCGGGCGGUAAGGGAUGGCCAUGCGUACCAUUAGCUCGAGUGGGUGGGGUAACGGCCCACCAUGGCUACGAUGGUUAGGGGCCCUGGAGAGGGGGACUCCCCCCACACGUAGGUACCUGGAAGACCGAACCGGACCAGACUACCGUACGGGAGGCAGCAGUGAGGAAUAC